CCUACGGGGGGCAGCAGUGGGGAAUAUUGGACAAUGGGCGAAAGCCUGAUCCAGCCAUGCCGCGUGUGUGAAGAAGGCCUUCGGGUUGUAAAGCACUUUCAGUGGGGAAGAAAGCCUUGGGGCUAAUACCCUCGAGGAAGGACAUCACCAACAGAAGAAGCACCGGCUAACUCCGUGCCAGCAGCCGCGGUAAUACGGAGGGUGCGAGCGUUAAUCGGAAUUACUGGGCGUAAAGCGCGCGUAGGCGGUCUGAUAAGCCGGUUGUGAAAGCCCCGGGCUCAACCUGGGAACGGCAUCCGGAACUGUCAGGCUAGAGUGCAGUAGAGGAAGGUAGAAUUCCCGGAGUAGCAGUGAAAUGCGUAGAGAUCGGGAGGAAUACCAGUGGCGAAGGCGGCCUUCUGGACUGACACUGACGCUGAGGUGCGAAAGCGUGGGUAGCAAACAGGAUUAGAUACCCCUGUAGUC
rnacentral:rRNA from 1 species